CAAUUGGGCUGCAUACCAUGUGGAAU
rnacentral:piRNA from 1 species